GACGAACGCUGGCGGCGUGCCUAAUACAUGCAAGUUGAACGCUAAAGCUUUAACUGGUGCUUGCACCGACUUAAGUUUUUAGAGUAGCGGACGGGUGAGUAACACGUGGGUAACCUGCCCAUCAGAGGGGGAUAACACUUGGAAACAGGUGCUAAUACCGCAUAAUUCCUUUUACCGCAUGGUAAAAGGCUGAAAGGCGCUUCUGGUGUCACUGAUGGAUGGACCCGCGGUGCAUUAGCUAGUCGGUGGGGUAACGGCCUACCGAGGCGAUGAUGCAUAGCCGACCUGAGAGGGUGAUCGGCCACAUUGGGACUGAGACACGGCCCAAACUCCUACGGGAGGCAGCAGUAGGGAAUCUUCGGCAAUGGACGGAAGUCUGACCGAGCAACGCCGCGUGAGUGAAGAAGGUUUUCGGAUCGUAAAGCUCUGUUGUUAGAGAAGAACAAGUGUGAAAGUAACUAGUCACACCGUGACGGUAUCUAACCAGAAAGCCACGGCUAACUACGUGCCAGCCGCCGCGAGUAACAC
rnacentral:rRNA from 1 species